rnacentral:pre_miRNA from 1 species
UCAUUUUUGUGAUUUGCAGCUAGUAAUCAUGGGUCAGUUGCAUAGUCGCAAAAGUGAUC